rnacentral:lncRNA from 1 species
UAUCUUGCAGUUUUGCUUAAUUUGUUUCUGUUAAAUGAUACAUGAAUUCUCUUUAGCUAUGUGUGUGUUUUUGGUUGCCGACUUGGUAAUAACUAUAGUCAAUGCAUUUUUGUUUGUCUUCUCAUUUGUUAUUUCUCUCUCUCUCUUUUUUAAAAAAUGGUCUUUAAUACUUUAAGAGCAUAUAUGCUGUGAACAGAAGUUAAUCUGAGGGAAACCUAUUUUAGUGAACUUCUAUCCCUUUUUUUUUUGAGACUAUUCAAGUUAAUUUGAUAGGCCUCUUAAAUAUUCUUGCUACUAUAUAAGUGAAUUGGUGUUGCAAAGGCCUGAUGAUUGUUGAACAAGAACGGAGAUUUGAAAUAUGUUCAUGUUGCAGCCUGAUUCCAAAAAUUGAGCUCCAUGAACAUGUUAUGUAAUAAACAUUUCUAUUUGAAAUAUGAAGGCCAGGGUAAAUAUUAUUUUUGAUUAUUAAUUUUUGUGGUUUCAAAACCCUGGUGGACCAACUUGUUUAAUUUCAUUUUUUGUUUGUUUUUGAUCUGUAUAAUUUAGUUUGUUAUUUCCUGGUUCCUUUGAGUGUUCACAUUUAACAAUCAGAGAUGAACCUACUAAGCAUGAGAUGGGAAUAAUUGGAGCCUUAAACCUCAAGAAUGAGGUGAAGAGUCUACAUUGAAUCUUCAGCUUAUUUUGUUCUUGUUCAUGAUUCUGACCUAACAUGAAAGUUUUAACUAACACAGAAUUUUGUAAUUAUAUCCUUUUUCUUAGUCUUUAGUAAAUUUUUAAUGAUUUAGCGCAUUGUCGCCCCCGGGUGUGGCAAGCGGAGCUGUAAAUUUUCAUAUGGUUCUUUGCACUCCCUUUCUUAUUUUGCAAGUACUAAGCUAAUUUUUUUCAUGCGUUCAGCCACAUUUUAUUUAGCAUCCAACUCUAUCUUACAUUUAAUUUGUUUAUAAAUAAAAAGGGGUGCAAGGGUUUACAUGAAAAUUCAUAUUGUGCCAUAACAAGGUGAUAUGAUAGUAUUGAUACAGCUGUUGCAUCAUAGCCGGAGCUGGACGGAUGGACCCUUGAAUAAUGCUUUAGGAUUGUUACUGGCCGGAUCUUGAAGUCUAAAAUGUAAUUAAACUUCUGUUUGUAUCUUUAAAUAAGAAAAUGAGUCAUGAGUGUAAUCUCAUCUCUUCCUCGGGCAUUUGUAUUAAUAUUUCUAUUUCUUUUAAAAUUGUUUCUUUUAGACAUUUAUGUUACCGAUGUAACUAAUAUGGAUAUCAAAUAUUCAAUUAUGUAUGGAUAAUAACCAUCUAAGUACAAAUCUAUAAUUAUUCAUGAUGGGUAUAUCCAUAUUCAACAUUUAAUACUGG